GGCUUCGUAGCUCAGCUGGUAGAGCCCUUGCCUCGUUGAGGCAUGGUGUGUCUGUCGUUGGUUCGAAUCCAGCCGAAGCCC
rnacentral:tRNA from 1 species